CCAAGAGAUCGGGAUAACACCUGGAAACAGAUGCUAAUACCGGAUAACAACAGAUGAUGCCUAUCAACUGUUUAAAAGAUGGUUCUGCUAUCACUCUUGGAUGGACCUGCGGUGCAUUAGCUAGUUGGUAGGGUAACGGCCUACCAAGGCGAUGAUGCAUAGCCGAGUUGAGAGACUGAUCGGCCACAUUGGGACUGAGACACGGCCCAAACUCCUACGGGAGGCAGCAGCG
rnacentral:rRNA from 1 species